CUCCUCGGUGGUAUAAGGUUAACUCGGACAUCGAUCCAGCUCCACUAUGUCUGUGGCUGUACCUGUACCACCAGAGACUCUGCAGUUAUCUGUGGAGGUGCCCUCUACCUACUACAGCUGGUCUGUCUUCAAUAUAUGGUGUUGCUGUUGGAUACUUGGCAAACAGGCGAAGAAACAUUCAAGAGAGACGGAGAGAUGUAUAGCAGAAGGAGAUCUGCAGGGAGCACAAAAAGCUUCUCAAUCAGCAUUCAGCUACAACCUGGCAGCAAUGAUAAUUGGAUUGAUCUUGUGGGUUACAAUUGUGUGUCUGUAUGUAUUUCAAGUGUUCUACAUAAAAAAUAGUAAAAUUAGUUGAUUUUACGGGAAAAGUCCAUGGAAACCUAUUGCCUUAAACAAUUAGUUAUUGGAUGCAGAAGACAUAGUUGUCUUUACUACAUUAGCUCACAUUAUUAUAGCUACAAAACAUUAUUCUGAAAGUAAUUUGUUAAAGUAAUGUAUUUCUUUUGUCAUUUAAUUAAUUACUCUCUAUGACCGAUCAUUUUAUUCAACUGAUUUAGAGACUGCAUUAAGUACAUUUUGUUUCAACAAACUGGAAGGGAAGACUUUUGGGAGGGAAAGACCAUUUUCAUGUCCCAAUGUUCCACCAUAAAUAAAUAAAAACAAUGUUUAUUCUUA